CCUACGGGAGGCAGCAGUGGGGAAUAUUGCGCAAUGGGGGAAAGCCUGACGCAGCGACGCCGCGUGAGGGAUGAAGGUUUUCGGAUUGUAAACCGCUGUAAGCAGGGAAGAAAAAAGACAGUACUAAUAGGAUAAGCAUCGACUAACCCCGUGCCAGCAGCCGCGGUAAAACGGAGGGAGCAAGCGUCAUCCGGAUUUAGUGGGGGUAAAGGGUUCGUAGACGGGGAAGCAAGUUAGUUGUGAAAUCCCUCGGCUUAACUGGGGAACUGCAACUGAAACUAGUUCCCUUGAGUACUGGAGAGGAAAGUGGAAUUCCAAGUGUAGCGGUGAAAUCCGUAGAUAUUAGGAGGAACAUCAGUGGCGAAGGCGACUUUCUGGCCCGUAACUGACGUUGAGGCACGAAAGUGUGGGGAGCAAACAGGAUUAGAUACCCUGGUAGUC
rnacentral:rRNA from 1 species